rnacentral:rRNA from 1 species
UACGUAGGCAGCGAGCGUUUGUUCGGAGUUACUGGGCGUAAAGGGUGUGUAGGCGGUUGUUUAAGUUUGGUGUGAAAUCUCCCGGCUCAACUGGGAGGGUGCGCCGAAUACUGAAUGACUUGGAGUGCGGGAGAGGAAAGUGGAAUUCCUGGUGUAGCGGUGAAAUGCGUAGAUAUCAGGAGGAACACCGGUGGUGUAGACGGCUUUCUGGACCGUAACUGACGCUGAGACACGAAAGCGUGGGUAGCAAACAGG